rnacentral:lncRNA from 1 species
CCUCCUUCUUGGAUGAAUCUUUCUUCAAAAAAGUGGCUUGCCUACUAACAAACACCAUUUAUUGAGUAAGAUGGUAGAAGUAGUAUACUACACUCUUCUUAGGAUAAUCUACAAACCUACAUUCUAGCAUUUAGCUUAUGUCCUUCAGUAUUCUUGACAUAAGCAGGACAACUUCAAAUCUUAAGAUACUUAAGAUUAGGCUUCCUACCUCUUCAUAUCUCAUAUGGAGUAC